AUCAGCUGAAGUCUCACAGCCAGCGAAUGGCAGGCCAGGGCACCAGGGCCUAGGUCUGCCUGCCUCUUCCAUCCACCUUCUGUCAUCACAAGCCUUCUGAUCUCCAGCCCUCUGAUCUGCCCCAGUGGGACCCUCCUGCGUCUCUGCUCUAGUUGUAGAGGACCCAUCAGGCACUUAGAGAGAAAUGAGUGGUGUUGUGAACAUUCGACUGUGUCCAUGUGGAAUCCACACACACAGUUUGCCUGAAAAUGACUGAUAGGAUGGAAACUGACAAGUCAUCAUCCGCUUCGGGCACCAGCGAUGACUGGUUAACAUGAAUAUUGUGUUGAUUUCCGCUAGAUAGAAGAAGAUGUCACUUGUCGUUAAUGGGGUGUCACACGUACACUUGCCUAAAGGAAAAUGCUCUUUUGGUGAUUGUUCUCAAUUUUCACCUCAUUUUAUAGCCAUAAAAAAGAAAAGAUUCAGCAGAAAGGAUGAAUCCACCUAGGGGUAGGAUGGAAAGGCAUUCUUCUCAUUUAUUUCCUUCUUUCUUUACCAGAACAACCAAAACCCAGUGAAAAUGCUGGUGCAAGUCAGAAGAGGGGGACCUGGGUUCUAAGAGCAGCCAGGUACUCUGGGCUUCAGAUCAGAGCCUCAGAAUCCAGCAGUUAUGCCCACAAGGUAGCCAAAGUCCAGCCAGUACCACCGGUCUCUCGGCCAGCUAUACUUGCCUCUGCUCAACAAUGAUGAUUUGAACGUACAUGUACAAAUAAUAACAGAUAACAUUACUGAGCACUUUACUAUGAACUAUGGAAUGUGCUAGGUAAAGACGUUACUCCACGUAAGCCAUAAAAUCAACCUAUGGGGCAGGUGCAGAUCCACAAACCCUGAUUUAAGAAUUCUGAAUCCUCAAAAGCUUUGAAAACCAAAACAUUUUUUCAUACGUGGUAAUAUGGUAAAAUACUUUGGAGGAACUGGAUGUAUUUUUCCUCUGGUCUCCAGAGAAGAAACUGAGACGACAGCAAGUCACAGAUUCAAGCUGUGUUCAUAAUGUGUUUCCACGUGGAGGUCACACUUUCAUGUUCAUGGGCAGAUGAAUUCUAACACCAAACACCAGGCUGAAUAGGUGUUCCCAUUGCAAGAGAAGUGCUGUGCACAAUUUUUAUUUGCAUUUCAAAACCCUAACAAAUGGCCACAAUCAACUACUACAAAUUUCUCCUAAUUAGUUUUAGUCUGCACUUCUGUCACCUUUAGGAGAGAGCCAAAGAUUUUAACCUUCAAAAUUAUCAGCAAUGCAUGUCAGAAAGCAUUUCAAAGAAGAGUCAAAGUGCAUGUAGAAACUAAUUGCUGUAUCUGAAAGUGCUGUUUGAAGAAUUUUUCAGUCUUCAGAGAAGCAAGUUCCCCACCCCUUGGGAAAACUAGUCUUCAAACUAAAAGUUUCCCCAAAUCAUAUACCUGAGAAAAAUGUUAAAACAGACUUACCCAAAAAGGCAAAGAAAUAAAACUGUAAGAAUAAAUAAAUCAGAAAUCAGAUGUCUCUCCCCUGUUUAAAAUCCUCCAACAGCUUCCUACUUUACUUGGAAUAAAACGCAAUUCCUUUACCAUCAAAAAAAAAAAAAAA
rnacentral:lncRNA from 1 species